rnacentral:rRNA from 1 species
AUUGAACGCUGGCGGCAUGCUCUACACAUGCAAGUCGAACGGUAACAGGCCGCAAGGUGCUGACGAGUGGCGAACGGGUGAGUAAUGCAUCGGAACGUGCCCAGUCGUGGGGGAUAACUACUCGAAAGAGUAGCUAAUACCGCAUACGAUCUAUGGAUGAAAGCGGGGGACCGUAAGGCCUCGCGCGAUUGGAGCGGCCGAUGUCAGAUUAGGUAGUUGGUGGGGUAAAGGCUCACCAAGCCAACGAUCUGUAGCUGGUCUGAGAGGACGACCAGCCACACUGGGACGGAGACACGGCCCAGACUCCUACGGGAGGCAGCAGUGGGGAAUUUUGGACAGUGGGCGCAAGCCUGAUCCAGCGAUGCCGCGUGCAGGAAGAAGGCCUUCGGGUUGUAAACUGCUUUUGUGCGGAGCGAAACGGCUCUGGUUAAUACCCGGGGCUAAUGACGGUACCGUAAGAAUAAGCACCGGCUAACUACGUG